CUACUGUUUGACUAUCCCGAAUGAAGUCAUUUUACAUCCUUCAUCAUCCUGUCUUUCAUUGUCCUUAUGCUGGCACCAUCUGAGGCCCUUGACAAAAGAUGACUGGAGGCCAUUGUUGGUAAAGGUUAUGCGGUGGAGAAAUGUGGCUGCAACAAAGAAGAGGAUCUUUAGAGACUCAAGUAAAAGUUGAAUGAAGAAGGCCUCAAAGGGGUU